AGUGAACGCUGGCGGUAGGCCUAACACAUGCAAGUCGAACGGCAGCACAGUAAGAGCUUGCUCUUACGGGUGGCGAGUGGCGGACGGGUGAGGAAUACAUCGGAAUCUACUUUUUCGUGGGGGAUAACGUAGGGAAACUUACGCUAAUACCGCAUACGACCUACGGGUGAAAGCAGGGGAUCUUCGGACCUUGCGCGAUUGAAUGAGCCGAUGUCGGAUUAGCUAGUUGGCGGGGUAAAGGCCCACCAAGGCGACGAUCCGUAGCUGGUCUGAGAGGAUGAUCAGCAACACUGGAACUGAGACACGGUCAAGAAUCCUACGGGAGGCAGAAGUGGGGAAUAUUGGACAAUGGGCGCAAGCCUGAUCCAGCCAUACCGCGUGGGUGAAGAAGGCCUUCGGGUUGUAAAGCCCUUUUGUUGGGAAAGAAAAGAAGCAGGUUAAUACCCCGCUGUUAUGACGGUACCCAAAGAAUAAGCACCGGCUAACUUCGUG
rnacentral:rRNA from 1 species